CUCCCAAAAGCACAGCAAUGAAUGAGAGCUCUUCUGGAAAAGCUGGGAAGACUCCCUGUGGAGCCACAAAGAGGUCCAUUGCUGACAGUGAAGAAUCGGAGGCCUACAAGUCCCUCUUUACCACUCACAGCUCUGCCAAGCGCUCCAAGGAGGAGUCUGCCCACUGGGUCACCCACACGUCCUACUGCUUCUGAAGCCCACACUGCCACCGCUCCUGCCCCAGAAGAAAACUAGCGAACUCCAGCGGAAGGUGCAAUACGGAGAGCACUUUCGGAUUCGGCAGAACCUACCAGAGCACACCCAAGGCUGGCUUGGGAGCAAAUGGCUCUGGCUUUUGUUUGCUGUUGUGCCGUUUGUGAUACUGAAGCGUCAAAGAGACAGUGAGAAGAAUAAGGAGCAGGGUCCUCCUGGCCUUCGAGGCGGCCAACUUCACUCUCCAUUAAAGAAAAAAAGAAAUGCUUCCCCCAACAAAGACUGUGCAUUCAAUACCUUAAUUGAACUCGAGGUGGAGCUUAUGAAAUUUGUGUCCAAAGUGCGGAAUCUUAAACGUGCCAUGGCAACAGGUAGUGGCAGUAACCUCAGGCUUCGAAAGUCAGAGAUGCCUGCAGAUCCAUACCAUGUCACGAUCUGUGAAAUAUGGGGAGAAGAAAGCUCUAGCUGAAUGGA
rnacentral:sRNA from 1 species